CAGGACACUGAACUUGUCGCAUUUUCUUCCUCUCUAGGCCCUUGGCAGCCUCAAUAUUUUUGCCCAGAUUUUCUAUGUGAGUAGAGUUUCGGGAUUCUCUGCUUUUUCUGCACCCAGGCAAUAUGAUUUCUGCUCAUUGCUACAAUAUUAUUUACACACAGCCAGCUCACAGACCUGCAUCUCUUGUUCAGGCCUUUCCACGGAUCUAUAAGGAAGCGUGAUUCUGGUUUUCAGUUCUUCGAAAUCCCUUCCUGCUGCUGCCUGCUAUCAAGAGGCCCAUCUUUGCAUCCUCCCACAAGUGCUGUGGAAAGGAACCACCUGAGUGUGUAACUUCCGAGCAGGGGAGGGCCUGAGCUUGUGAUUUUCUGAGGAUUAAUUUGUUGGUCAAUAAAAUAAAAGGUAC
rnacentral:lncRNA from 1 species